rnacentral:rRNA from 1 species
GACGAACGCUGGCGGCGUGCCUAAUACAUGCAAGUUGAGCGCUGAAGGUUGGUACUUGUACCAACUGGAUGAGCAGCGAACGGGUGAGUAACGCGUGGGGAAUCUGCCUUUGAGCGGGGGACAACAUUUGGAAACGAAUGCUAAUACCGCAUAAAAACUUUAAACACAAGUUUUAAGUUUGAAAGAUGCAAUUGCAUCACUCAAAGAUGAUCCCGCGUUGUAUUAGCUAGUUGGUGAGGUAAAGGCUCACCAAGGCGAUGAUACAUAGCCGACCUGAGAGGGUGAUCGGCCACAUUGGGACUGGGACACGGCCCAAACUCCUGCGGGAGGCAGCAGUAGGGAAUCUUCGGCAAUGGACGAAAGUCUGACCGAGCGACGCCGCGUGAGUGAAGAAGGUUUUCGGGUCGUAAAACUCUGUUGGUAGAGAAGAACGUUGGUGAGAGUGGAAAGCUCAUCAAGUGACGGUAACUACCCAGAAAGGGACGGCUAACUACGUG